CCUACGGGUGACAGCAGUGAGGAAUAUUGGUCAAUGGACGAGAGUCUGAACCAGCCAAGUAGCGUGAAGGAUGACUGCCAUAUGGGUUGUAAACUUCUUUUAUAAAGGAAUAAAACGAGGCACGUGUGCCUUUUUGCAUGUACUUUAUGAAUAAGGAUCGGCUAACUCCGUGCCAGCAGCCGCGGUAAUACGGAGGGUCCGAGCGUUAUCCGGAUUUAUUGGGUUUAAAGGGAGCGUAGACGGGUUGUUAAGUCAGUUGUGAAAGUUUGCGGCUCAACCGUAAAAUUGCAAUUGAAACUGGUAGUCUUGAGUACAGGAGAGGUAGGCGGAAUUCGUGGUGUAGCGGUGAAAUGCUUAGAUAUCACGAAGAACCCCGAUUGCGAAGGCAGCUUACUAAACUGUAACUGACAUUGAUGCUCGAAAGUGUGGGUAUCAAACAGGAUUAGAUACCCUGGUAGUC
rnacentral:rRNA from 1 species